ACUCACUCCCACAGGAUGAAAUGGAGAUCGGCUACAUCCAAGCCCCACACAAAACGCUGCCCGUGGUCUUCGACUCUCCAAGGAACAGAGGCCUGAAGGAGUUUCCCAUCAAACGCGUGAUGGGUCCAGAUUUUGGCUAUGUAACUCGAGGGCCCCAAACAGGGGGUAUCAGUGGACUGGACUCCUUUGGGAACCUGGAAGUGAGCCCCCCAGUCACAGUCAGGGGCAAGGAAUACCCGCUGGGCAGGAUUCUCUUCGGGGACAGCUGUUAUCCCAGCAAUGACAGCCGGCAGAUGCACCAGGCCCUGCAGGACUUCCUCAGUGCCCAGCAGGUGCAGGCCCCUGUGAAGCUCUAUUCUGACUGGCUGUCCGUGGGCCACGUGGACGAGUUCCUGAGCUUUGUGCCUGCACCCGACAGGAAGGGCUUCCGGCUGCUCCUGGCCAGCCCCAGGUCCUGCUACAAACUGUUCCAGGAGCAGCAGAAUGAGGGCCACGGGGAGGCCCUGCUGUUCG
rnacentral:sRNA from 1 species